GACGAACGCUGGCGGCGUGCUUAACACAUGCAAGUCGAACGGAGUGGCGAACGGGGGAGUAACACGUGGGUGACCUGCCGUGUACUUCGGGAUAAGCCUGGGAAACUGGGUUUAAUACCGGAUAGUGUGGGAUGGGCCCGCGGCCUAUCAGCUUGUUGGCGGGGUAAUGGCCUACCAAGGGGGCGACGGGUAGCCGGCCUGGGAGGGUGGACGGCGCCAAGGGGCCUGCGGCACGGCGCAGACUGCUACGGGGGGCAGCGGUGGAGAGUAUUGCCCAGUGGGCGGAAGCCUGAUGCGGCGGCGCCGCGUGGGGAAUGUCGGCUUUCUGGUGGUAAACUCCUUUCACCGUCGACGCGGUAUAUGCAGAAGAAGCACCGGCUAACUACGUGCCAGCAGCCGCGGUAAUAC
rnacentral:rRNA from 1 species